rnacentral:rRNA from 1 species
CGGCGGACGGGUGAGUAACGCGUGGGUAACCUACCCUGUACACACGGAUAACAUACCGAAAGGUAUGCUAAUACGGGAUAAUAUAUUUGAGAGGCAUCUCUUGAAUAUCAAAGGUGAGCCAGUACAGGAUGGACCCGCGUCUGAUUAGCUAGUUGGUAAGGUAACGGCUUACCAAGGCGACGAUCAGUAGCCGACCUAAGAGGGUGAUCGGCCACAUUGGAACUGAGACACGGUCCAA